GCAGGAAGUGACAUAGCAGGGAGACUCAUAUUAAGCAAGAAGUGGUUCUUUUUCCCCUUUGCUCUUCCUCCUGCUCUCUGCUCGGAGCCACCAUGUGAUCCUGGGGAUGAGGACACCAAUGAAAGGCAUCCGAUAAGAUAACUCCAGCUGUGGGGCCUCUAAUCCCACUUCUCUGCCACCAGGAUACCACCUUACCCUGAGGAUUCAUCUGAGCAUCUGAGCCCUCAUGAGACUGAUGUCUUUUAAUAUGUAAAGCACCAGAAAUGGAGUGCCUCUCAAUGAGAGUUCCCACGAUGCCCCCCAAACUGCAAGUGGAGGCCUCAUUUUUAAGCUCUUUGAAUGCUUAGUGUCUUUUAUUAAGUUCCUAGGGUAGAGUGAAUGCUUAGUAAAUAAUGAUGAAGGUUUUAAAAUCUCAUUUUACAAAUGAGAAGUCAGAAGUGUUUUGGCUGAUGCGGAUUAACAAGUCAUCCAGUGAGCCAACCUUUAUCCUUGUUUCCCACUGAGCAUAUUCAAUCCAACCUGAUGAGUAACACCAGGUUACAACUACUCGACUGCAGGAGAGCAGAGAGAAGAAUUUUCCUGAAAAAGGACUUGGAAAUGUUGCCAUGGCCAUGGUGCCUCUUCAUAGCAAUAGAGCAAAAGUGGUAUCUCUGCUUGCUACCUGCAGAUCAGGAUGGAAAGCUCUCAGCUACUUCUCCAGUGCCAUGCCUAUCUGCUUCCUGCCAUGCUGAUCAUGGACUAACACUAGUGCUCACAGAAGGCCUUUACCUGAGGAGGAACUAUCUUGGACAAGCCUUUUGUGUCUUGGAAAAGAACGUUGUAGAACAACAAGACAUCACACCUGAGGUCAGAGAUGGACUCUGCUUUGAGAUAGUGAAGAUACCAGAGGGAGAGGUUUCUCUUUGCAGCCCUGCCUGCUUGGAACUAGCCCCAUAGACCACACUGGCCUCUGCCUUCCACGUGCUGGGUUUAAAGGCAUGCACCACCGCCACAUGACUUAUCUUUGUUUUUGGAUUUAAGUGUUGUUUCUUGUCAUGAAGCUGUAGCUGUAAUUUUAGGAUCUAAUAUGACUGUAUUUUUGUAGCAGAAAAUAAUUGAUUUAUAUUUUUAUAUGUGCUAUCAUUUCUAAUUUAUUCCUAUAAUAUUUUUGUUGGCUAUUUGUCGUGCUCAUGUUUCUUUGCCUUCUGCUUUGAUUCAUAUUCCUUGUACUUUCUAAAAUUUACUUCAGGCAUUUGAAAUAUUCUUCUUUUAUCUUUAUUUUAUGUGUAUGAGAGUUUUGCCUGUAGGUGUGUCUGUGUACCAUGCCUUUGCAGUGCCCAUGGGGAUGAGAAGAGGGCAUUACAUCCCUUGAGACUCAAGCAGCAGGUGGUUAUGAGGCACUAUGUGGGAGCUGGGAAUCAAACCUGGGUUCUUUGGAAGAGGAACCAGUGUUUGUAAAUGCUGAGUCAUCUUUCCAGCUCCCACCUCAGCUACUUUUGGUAAAAGUACAUGACUAUGAUUGAAAUAUCAUGGGUGAAGUUGGACACAGGCUUAGUAAUAAAAUCUUUAAAUUUUCCCAUUGUCACGGGCAGACCUACUGUUUGAAAAAAAUUUCUUUGAAAGGAAAUCCUUUAUUUAAUGGAUUCAGAACAGUGCAUCUUGGACUUCUAGUAAAGUAAUUUGUUUUAUCUCUUCAGAGAACAGACGGCAGUGUGUGCCUGAACAGGGUGGGGCAUGGGGUUGAUUCUUUGGAGGAAUUAUCUACACAGGCAGAAUCAUCAACUGUCACAUAUCUAUAGUCAGUCCUGGGACAAUGAUGUAAUUAAACAUAAGCACAGAGGAGAGUUGGGACUGCUCUAGGGCUAUGCUAUGCUUCUAACUUUGAAAGCCUCCCCUACCCCCACCCUAGGUUUAUAAAGACAACAUGGAGGAGGAAGUGGCUAAGGCUAAAGACCUGAUUGGAAGGGAAUUAGAAUUAGUGUUACAUAUGCCUCCUUUGCAACUGGUAUAUGAUAAUUUUGGAAAUUUGCUUAAAUCAGGUUGGAAAGAAAACUAUGAUUAGAAGGUCCAUGGAUGUUUUCCUUGAAUAGACAACUGGAUGACUCCCUUUAGCUAUUUACUAAUUUACCACACCAUAAUUUUUGCAGUAUAGUGGAGUUAAUACUUGUGUGUUUCUUAAAGAACAAGGAUAAGGUGUGCAUGGUAUGUGUGUGUAAAUAACAAGUGUUUUUAUCCUACAAUAAAAUAGUGAUUAAUUUUAUUCGUUGGAAUCUAAAUUUCUUGAGGUCUUGAGAGAUGAUGGCUUAGUGGUUAAGAGCACUUCCUGUUUGGGGGAAAAACGGAGUUUGCUUACAAACACCUACAUUGGGAGGGCUCACAAUUCUAGCUCUAAGGGAUCUUCUGUCCUACCUGGGCACCCACAUG
rnacentral:lncRNA from 1 species